AGCGAACGCUGGCGGCAGGCUUAACACAUGCAAGUCGAGCGGGCGUAGCAAUACGUCAGCGGCAGACGGGUGAGUAACGCGUGGGAACAUACCUUUUGGUUCGGAACAACACAGGGAAACUUGUGCUAAUACCGGAUAAGCCCUUACGGGGAAGAUUUAUCGCCGAAAGAUUGGCCCGCGUCUGAUUAGCUAGUUGGUGAGGUAAUGGCUCACCAAGGCGACGAUCAGUAGCGGUCUGAGAGGAUGAUCAGCCACAUUGGGACUGAGACACGGCCCAAACUCCUACGGGAGGCAGCAGUGGGGAAUUUUGGACAAUGGGCGCAAGCCUGAUCCAGCCAUUCCGCGUGCAGGAUGAAGGCCCUCGGGUUGUAAACUGCUUUUGUACGGAACGAAACGCGUUG
rnacentral:rRNA from 1 species